rfam:Bacillus sp. SA2-6 scf7180000001090, whole genome shotgun sequence.
AGUAAGGAUAGAGGCGCAAAGACCAUAAGUACUCAUUCUGAGGAUAAUGAGGUCCAUUGAGGAUUGGGGAAAGGGGUAUUUGCCGAAACUUUGAGAACUCAUUCUUCUUAAAGUUGGUUCUGUGAUUGAAUAAAUGCAGAACUGUCAUAUAGGGAACUAUAUGGAGGGCUAUCUUACGC